CGCUGGCGGCGUGCCUAAUACAUGCAAGUGGAACGCAUGAUUGAUACCGGAGCUUGCUCCACCAUUAAUCAUGAGUCGCGAACGGGUGAGUAACGCGUAGGUAACCUACCUCAUAGCGGGGGAUAACUAUUGGAAACGAUAGCUAAUACCGCAUAACAGUCUUUGACACAUGUUAGAGACUUAAAAGGAGCAAUUGCUUCACUAUGAGAUGGACCUGCGUUGUAUUAGCUAGUUGGUGAGGUAAAGGCUCACCAAGGCGACGAUACAUAGCCGACCUGAGAGGGUGAUCGGCCACACUGGGACUGAGACACGGCCCAGACUCCUACGGGAGGCAGCAGUAGGGAAUCUUCGGCAAUGGGGGGAACCCUGACCGAGCAACGCCGCGUGAGUGAAGAAGGUUUUCGGAUCGUAAAGCUCUGUUGUUAGAGAAGAACGUGUGUGAGAGUGGAAAGUUCACACAGUGACGGUAACUAACCAGAAAGGGACGGCUAACUACGUGCCAGCAGCCGCGGUAAUACGUAGGUCCCGAGCGUUGUCCGGAUUUAUUGGGCGUAAAGCGAGCGCAGGCGGUUCUGUAAGUCUGAAGUUAAAGGCAGUGGCUUAACCAUUGUACGCUUUGGAAACUGCAGGACUUGAGUGCAGAAGGGGAGAGUGGAAUUCCAUGUGUAGCGGUGAAAUGCGUAGA
rnacentral:rRNA from 1 species